rnacentral:rRNA from 1 species
GACGAACGCUGGCGGCGCGCCUAACACAUGCAAGUCGAACGAGAGAGAAGGAGCUUGCUUCUUCGAUCGAGUGGCGAACGGGUGAGUAACGCGUGAGGAACCUGCCUCAAAGAGGGGGACAACAGUUGGAAACGACUGCUAAUACCGCAUAAGCCCACAGGUCGGCAUCGACCUGAGGGAAAAGGAGCAAUCCGCUUUGAGAUGGCCUCGCGUCCGAUUAGCUAGUUGGUGAGGUAACGGCCCACCAAGGCGACGAUCGGUAGCCGGACUGAGAGGUUGAACGGCCACAUUGGGACUGAGACACGGCCCAGACUCCUACGGGAGGCAGCAGUGGGGAAUAUUGCACAAUGGGGGAAACCCUGAUGCAGCGACGCCGCGUGGAGGAAGAAGGUCUUCGGAUUGUAAACUCCUGUUG